rnacentral:ncRNA from 1 species
AAGACCCCGGGACCUUUACUACAGUUUGAUAUUGGUGUUCGGUUCGACUUGUGUAGGAUAGCUGGGAGACUGUGAAGCGCUAACGCCAGUUAGUGUGGAGUCGUCGUUGAAAUACCAGUCUGGUCGUGCUGGAUGUCUAACCUGGGUCCGUGAUCCGGAUCAGGGACAGUGUCUGAUGGGUAGUUUAACUGGGGCGGUUGCCUCCUAAAGAGUAACGGAGGCGCCCAAAGGUUCCCUCAGCCUGGUUGGCAAUCAGGUGUUGAGU